rnacentral:rRNA from 1 species
GAUGAACGCUGGCGGCGUGCCUAAUACAUGCAAGUCGAGCGAACAGAUGAGGAGCUUGCUCCUCUGACGUUACCGGCGGACGGGUGAGUAACACGUGGAUAACCUACCUAUAAGACUGGGAUAACUUCGGGAAACCGGAGCUAAUACCGGAUAAUAUAUUGAACCGCAUGGUUCAAUAGUGAAAGACGGUUUUGCUGUCACUUAUAGAUGGAUCCGCGCCGCAUUAGCUAGUUGGUAAGGUAACGGCUUACCAAGGCAACGAUGCGUAGCCGACCUGAGAGGGUGAUCGGCCACACUGGAACUGAGACACGGUCCAGACUCCUACGGGAGGCAGCAGUAGGGAAUCUUCCGCAAUGGGCGAAAGCUUGACGGAGCAACGCCGCGUGAGUGAUGAAGGUCUUCGGAUCGUAAAACUCUGUUAUUAGGGAAGAACAAAUGUGUAAGUAACUAUGCACGUCUUGACGGUACCUAAUCAGAAAGCCACGGCUAACUACGUG